GAACGAAACUAAGGCUGAUUUACAUGGCACAAUUAUUGGGAACGAAUGUUACAAGGAAUGCUUGUUCCCGAUAAUCGACCCGUGCAAAUGUGCUGUUGAUCACCCAAUCGACGAUCAAAGCAAUUUUUAAUCGGAUGAAAUGAUCUUUCGUGCAGCCCAUAAAAUCAUUGUUUCUGGGUAGAAGAUCCUUCUGUGUGAACAGAGAUCCGCUGCCCAGAAGCAAUGAAUCUGUAUCAGGACGAGUGAUGACAGUAGCUAUCGUUCAUCCCCAUACAGUGGAGGUGAUCGCUACAUGUAAAGGCAGCUCAUUACCUCCACUGAGGAGUAGGCAACGGUCGCUUCCAGAUAAUUGCCUGUCAGGUUAGGUAGUCUAAAUCCAGCAUUAGAGGUGAUCUCAUGUACAUGAAUAAGUAUAUAUGUGCUCAAUACAAAGAACUAGUAAGGGUGCGGCCACACAUUCAGGUUUCCUGAUGCAGUUUUGGAAGCGAAACCCAAGAGUAAAUUCAAAAAAGAGAAGUCGUAUCUGUCCUUUAUAUUGCCUUUCCUUUUUUGAUAUACUUCUGAUUUUGGUGUCCAAAACUGCAUCAGGAAACCUGACCGUGUGGCUGUGCACUUAUUCAUACGGCAGUGUCAUGGACGUUUUUUGUUAAUGGUCAUCACACUGCCGUUUUCAGAACCAUUGCACUUUAUGGGUCUAUUCAUAUGGCCAUUUUUUUAAAAGGCCCGUGAAUAACGUCCGUCAAAAAUAGGACAUGUUCUAUUUUUUCCAUUUUCACAGACAGACAGCCUAUACAAUGCAAGGAGACAGACAUAAGGGAAAAAAGAGCCAUCAAAAAUGGACUGUUUGGUUGUUUUUAAUGGCCCUUAUUUUUUCACGGUCAUGUAAACGUAGCCUAAGAGCAAUCAAACUGUGGGUUGCCCUACCUCAAGAGGUAGUAAUGGCUGAUACUACAUCAGCAUUUAAAAAAGGGCUGGAUGCUGGUGACUUGGGUGACACGACCCCUGCUGCCGCUGGUCA